rfam:Schistosoma haematobium scaffold279_2, whole genome shotgun sequence.
ACACCGCUGACGAGUCCCACAAUAGGACGAAAUGGCCGUCCAGUGC